UGGGGAAUAUUGGACAAUGGGCGAAAGCCUGAUCCAGCAAUGCCGCGUGAGUGAUGAAGGCCUUAGGGUUGUAAAGCUCUUUUACCAGGGAUGAUAAUGACAGUACCUGGAGAAUAAGCUCCGGCUAACUCCGUGCCAGCAGCCGCGGUAAUACGAAGGGGGCUAGCGUUGUUCGGAUUUACUGGGCGUAAAGCGCGUGUAGGCGGGUCGUUAAGUUGGGGGUGAAAUCCCGAGGCUCAACCUCGGAACUGCCUUCAAAACUGGCGACCUGGACCUAAGUAGAGGCAAGUGGAAUUGCGAGUGUAGAGGUGAAAUUCGUAGAUAUUCGGAAGAACACCAGUGGCGAAGGCGGCUCACUGGACGUGUAUUGACGCUGAGGUACGAAAGCGUGGGGAGCAAACAGGAUUAGAUACCCCGGUAGUCCCUGAGCGGGCUGGCAAGGCGCAU
rnacentral:rRNA from 1 species